GCUGGGUGCGGUGGCCACGCCUGUCAUCCCAGGGGCUCGGGAGGCUGAGGCAGGAGGAUUGUGAGUUCAAAGCCAGCCUCAGCAACAGUGAGGCCCUCAGCAUCUCAGUGAGACCCUGUCUCUA
rnacentral:sRNA from 1 species